GUCUGUGCUGUGUUCAGCACCAGUGACCCUGGCCUGGCGGGUAGAUCUACGAUCCACCGCGAGUAUCAUUACAUCAGCACAACGAGAGGCAGGGACAGUUCAGUCAUUCCGCCGUACCCAUAGGAUGCAGUGCAUGUCUCCGUCAGUCGAGUCUUGUCUUCCAUAAUUAAUUAAUUAUUGUCCGCCUGCCGAAGAAAGUUGGCCUAAGUCAGUUCGUUUGAAUGUCCCUAGUAACCUAGGUGUAUUAGAGUGUGUUGGAGAACAACUCUUCUUACCGGAGUGUUUCCUGAUAGUACUAACGCUUCAUCCGUGUGCCUCUCGAAAGAGAAACGGGUGUCCAGUGUUGUUCGAAGCACAGCGAUGUUCGACCGCGCACCGCCUGCAGUACCCAGUCCUGAAAGUCAAGACGGUCAAGACAGCAUGCUCGGAGCCGCUAAACCAGCCUCGGCGCUCUACACCAGCCACACAGCCAUCAACACACUCAACGAACUCGACGACUUUCUGAACGUAGAGGACAGCAGCAACAACACUUCGCAAUGCAACAGUUGUACGACGAGCAGAGGCGAAUGCUCGCCACGGAAGGCUUCGUUCAGUAAUAGCCGGUCGAACAGUUCCACGCUAGUACCAGCAGGAGAACCGUGUGAUGAGUGUGUUAGUUCGCCGAACAGUCUCAUUGGGGCGGUGAACAACCGGCAUGCGGAGUGCUUGAAGCGACUACUGAGCAGUCGAUGUGCCGCUCCGCAGCAGGAUACCACACCUUCAGGCGUCACCUGUGCACAUAUUUCCGCCAAGAUAGGAAAUCUCGAGGCUCUUCAUAUCUUGCUGGGCCACGAUCCCAAAGCAGUAGAGGUGCUACCGUCGCUCACGUUGCCGCUCACAACGGACACGUGGACUGUCUGACAUACAUGUAGCUGAGGACGGCGAUGUGUCGCGGAGUGUUUUUGAACACUAAACCCACCGCUAGGACGAGAAGUGGCCAAGCAAAUACAUGUACAUGUACUUCAACUUGCAAAAUAAAUGUCGCUGUGGACAGGAUUCGAACCUGCGCGGGCAGUGCCCAAUUGAUCUUAAGUCAAUCGCCUUAACCACUCGGCCACCACAGCUGGAUAAGAUGCACAUACACCACAUACACACGCCCACCCGCCGCCGAAGCGACUACAGGGAAGAAGCUAUGUUUGUGUGUGCGUGUCUGCGUGUGUGAGUUUUGCGUGUUCGCGUGUGUGUACAUGCGUGGGCACGUAUGUUCGUUUCUGGUGUAUUGGUGGCGCUGAUAUGUGGCUCAUUGAAAGACUUGUAUUCUUCUAUUGUGGAGUGGGGUGUUGUGGAGUGGGGUGUUGGUGUGUUGCCUAUGCGUAUUUAUUAUUUACUGGACUAUGUACUGGUAGGACAUUUAUUUAAUUGUCUUCUUCUGCAUGUAGGUGUUAAGCAUG